CAGUUUUGGCGGAGCCAUCCUUGGGAUACCACCCUUGUAGUACUGGGACUCUAACCAUAGGCCAUGAAUCUGGUCUUGGGACACUGUCAGGUGGGCAGUUUGACUGGGGCGGUCGCCUCCCAAAAGGGAACGGAGGCGCUCAAAGGUUCUCUCAGUACGGUCGGAAAUCGUACGUAGAGUGUAAAGGCAAAAGAGAGCUUGAUUGCAAGACAUACAGGUCGAGCAAGGAUGAAAAUCGGACUUAGUGAUCCGGUGGUUCUGCGUGGAAGGGCCAUCGCUCAACGGAUAAAAGCUACCCUGGGGAUAACAGGCUUAUCUCCCCCAAGAGUCCACAUCGACGGGGAGGUUUGGCACCUCGAUGUCGGCUCAUCACAUCCUGGGGCUGUAGUAGGUCCCAAGGGUUGGGCUGUUCGCCCAUUAAAGUGGUACGCGAGCUGGGUUCAGAACGUCGUGAGACAGUUCGGUCCCUAUCCGUCGCAGGCGUAGGAAAUUUGAGAAG
rnacentral:rRNA from 1 species